CCUACGGGAGGCAGCAGUGGGGAAUAUUGGACAAUGGGGGCAACCCUGAUCCAGCCAUGCCGCGUGUGUGAAGAAGGCCCUCGGGUUGUAAAGCACUUUCAGUGAGGAAGAACGCCUGGUGGUUAAUACCCAUCAGGAAAGACAUCACUCACAGAAGAAGCACCGGCUAACUCCGUGCCAGCAGCCGCGGUAAUACGGAGGGUGCGAGCGUUAAUCGGAAUUACUGGGCGUAAAGCGCGCGUAGGUGGCUUGAUAAGCCGGUUGUGAAAGCCCCGGGCUCAACCUGGGAACGGCAUCCGGAACUGUCAAGCUAGAGUGCAGGAGAGGAAGGUAGAAUUCCCGGUGUAGCGGUGAAAUGCGUAGAGAUCGGGAGGAAUACCAGUGGCGAAGGCGGCCUUCUGGACUGACACUGACACUGAGGUGCGAAAGCGUGGGUAGCAAACAGGAUUAGCUACCCCGGUAGUC
rnacentral:rRNA from 1 species